CCUACGGGUGGCAGCAGUGAGGAAUAUUGGUCAAUGGACGAGAGUCUGAACCAGCCAAGUAGCGUGAAGGAUGACUGCCCUAUGGGUUGUAAACUUCUUUUAUAAAGGAAUAAAACGAGGCACGUGUGCCUUUUUGCAUGUACUUUAUGAAUAAGGAUCGGCUAACUCCGUGCCAGCAGCCGCGGUAAUACGGAGGAUCCGAGCGUUAUCCGGAUUUAUUGGGUUUAAAGGGAGCGUAGAUGGGUUGUUAAGUCAGUUGUGAAAGUUCGCGGCUCAACCGUAAAAUUGCAAUUGAUACUGGCAGUCUAGAGUACAGUUGAGGUAGGCGGAAUGCGUGGUGUAGCGGUGAAAUGCUUAGAUAUCACGAAGAACCCCGAUUGCGAAGGCAGCUUACUAAGCUGUGACUGACAUUGAUGCUCGAAAGCGUGGGUAUCAAACAGGAUUAGAUACCCCAGUAGUC
rnacentral:rRNA from 1 species